rnacentral:rRNA from 1 species
UACGUAGGGUGCAAGCGUUGUCCGGAAUUAUUGGGCGUAAAGAGCUCGUAGGCGGCUAGUCGCGUCGGCUGUGAAAACCUGGGGCUCAACCCCGGGCCUGCAGCCGAUACGGGCUAGCUAGAAUUCGGUAGGGGAGACUGGAAUUCCAGGUGUAGCGGUGAAAUGCGUAGAUAUCUGGAGGAACACCGGUGGCGAAGGCGGCAUCCUGGACCGGUAUUGACACUGAGGCGCGAAAGCCAGGGGAGCAAACGGG